GAGUAAGUUGAAGCACACUCCCCAAAGUGGGGUAGCUCAAUUUCUUUGUCGGCUUCACAUCCACAUUUCAGUGCUCUUGACAUCGUAAUACCGGGAUGAAGUAAAGUUCCAGAACAUAGUCCAGGAACAAACGGAAAAGUGAGUGAACUAAAAUCCGAUGAAAGUUCGUUAAAAAAAGGCUAAGUGCAAAUCUAGAGUGAAGGGCGAGAGGCAAAGAAUAUAUAAAUAUACACUUUUAAAUCUGAUAUAAAGUCCAACUUUCAAGUGUAAAACAAACAGCCGAGAUUUGAGAGAGUAAAUUGAUUUUCCUGUUCUACGGAAGUUAAAGUCGGUUGUUGGCAGCACCACCACCAUAGAAGGCGGAAAAGUGCAAACAAACUAAAUAUUUUGCCGGUGGCAAUAUUUGUUUCGAUGAUCCCACAUUCGGAACCAGUCACAGCACAGGACAACAGACAUCGUCCGCACCCGAUCUGAGCAAUUGUCGUAACGACUUUUCGAUGAUCCCCGAACGUACCACACCGCUUGGCUGCUUUCGAGGGCCACGAGGGUCGGAAUCGAAAGCCAUGUUUCGGUAUCGGGAAUCGAGCACUAUUUCACCGACUGGCAGGAAAGAGAAAUGGUCACGUUUCGGCCGUCCGUUGAAGACAGCCAUGCAGUAGCACGGUACGUUUUAAUCUCACAGUAAAUCGCCCUGACGGAAUUAAAUCAUCUCCUUUACACACAUUGAACUGCCCGUAUGAGAAUUUUAGGGAAAAUUACCAAAAUGGUUGCUAUCACAUUCACCCUUGUAGAGAUUCCUAUUCUCUGCACUCAUAGAGUAAACAAAUUGAAGG